rnacentral:rRNA from 1 species
GACGAAGGGGGCUAGCGUUGUUCGGAAUUACUGGGCGUAAAGCGAGUGUAGGCGGUUGCCCAAGUCAGGUGUGAAAGCCUUGAGCUCAACUCAAGAAAUGCACUUGGUACUGGGUGGCUAGAGGACCGGAGAGGAUAGUGGAAUUCCCAGUGUAGUGGUGAAAUGCGUAGAGAUCGGGUGGAACACCAGCGGCGAAGGCGGCAUCCUGGCCCUGUACUGACGCUGAGGCGCGAUAGCGUGGGGAGCAAACGGG